rnacentral:rRNA from 1 species
GACGAACGCUGGCGGCGUGCCUAAUACAUGCAAGUAGAACGCUGAAGGAGGAGCUUGCUCUUCUGGAUGAGUUGCGAACGGGUGAGUAACGCGUAGGUAACCUGCCUGGUAGCGGGGGAUAACUAUUGGAAACGAUAGCUAAUACCGCAUAAGAGUAGAUGUUGCAUGACAUUUACUUAAAAGGUGCAAUUGCAUCACUACCAGAUGGACCUGCGUUGUAUUAGCUAGUUGGUGGGGUAACGGCUCACCAAGGCGACGAUACAUAGCCGACCUGAGAGGGUGAUCGGCCACACUGGGACUGAGACACGGCCCAGACUCCUACGGGAGGCAGCAGUAGGGAAUCUUCGGCAAUGGACGGAAGUCUGACCGAGCAACGCCGCGUGAGUGAAGAAGGUUUUCGGAUCGUAAAGCUCUGUUGUAAGAGAAGAACGAGUGUGAGAGUGGAAAGUUCACACUGUGACGGUAUCUUACCAGAAAGGGACGGCUAACUACGUGCCAGCAGCCGCGGUAAUACGUAGGUCCCGAGCGUUGUCCGGAUUUAUUGGGCGUAAAGCGAGCGCAGGCGGUUAGAUAAGUCUGAAGUUAAAGGCUGUGGCUUAACCAUAGGACGCUUUGGAAACUGUUUAACUUGAGUGCAAGAGGGGAGAGUGGAAUUCCAUGUGUAGCGGUGAAAUGCGUAGAUAUAUGGAGGAACACCGGUGGCGAAAGCGGCUCUCUGGCUUGUAACUGACGCUGAGGCUCGAAAGCGUGGGGAGCAAACAGG